CCUGCCCCACGCUUUCCAGGGUGGCUAGAAUCACCGGCCAACCCUACUAAAGGCCAGUAGGGCUCGCUAAUGUGCCAUAGAAAUGCCCCCACCGCGUUCCAAUGGCCCCCGGGAGGGGACAUCCCUGAGAUGCAGUAAGUGACAGCCAGGUGAGAAAACAAGUUCGGGCGGUUGCGAGGAGCUCGGGCACUGGAGUCACUGAAACAAGGCAGGGGCGCUGUCCCAGAGAUUCCUGCCCCACAGAGCGACGUCUGCCCGUUCUGGUCUCGGCGGGCCGACUUCCAGGCCGGGCUGCUGCCAGCGCCUUCCCGCCUCCCUGCGGUUCGCGGGGACGUCAGCUGGCAAGGGGGCUGCCGCUCCCGCGCCCUCCCCUCCCGCGGCCCCCCGCCCCCAGUGUCUGGCUGGUGCAGGGGCACCGAGCUCUGCUCCGCGGCGCGCGAGGCGUGCGGUCAAGGGCGUAGAGCCGGGAAGCGGUGACUUCUCCCAGGAUGCUUCUCCCAGGAGAUCGUCCUUCCAGAACGAUCGCGGUUGGCUGGCCCCCGCAGGUGGAGCUGGCUUCUUAGACUUCAAGCCUGCGUGUUUGCCUGCAGAGUUCUUCUCCGAGACUCAGGAUCUCAGGCACGGGAGCGGCACACGGAGGUCCCCACGGUCUGGAUAGGGGCCCACCUGAUGUCUGUUCCUCCAGAGAGGGGCUCUUUGAUGUCAACCCUUAACUUUAACCCCUUCCCUGCACAAGCCAGCACAUUUUUUUUUUCUUCUGUGCCUAAGAUCUCUGUGGGCAGGGCCGAAUCCUCUCUGUCCUUUUAACCCUCGCCCACGCUCCAUUGUAAUUAAUACAAUGAUUGGGUCCACAGCACUAAUAAUUAAGGCAACUGCCUUUUUGAAACACU